rnacentral:rRNA from 1 species
UACGGAGGGAGCUAGCGUUGUUCGGAAUUACUGGGCGUAAAGCGCACGUAGGCGGCUUUGUAAGUUAGAGGUGAAAGCCCGGGGCUCAACCCCGGAGGGUCGGCUGAUACUGCAGGACUGGAGUACGGAAGAGGUAGCUGGAAUUCCCGGUGUAGCGGUGAAAUGCGCAGAUAUCGGGAAGAACACCUAUGGCGAAGGCAGCUCUCUGGGACGGUACUGACGCUGAGACGCGAAAGCGUGGGGAGCGAACAGG